rnacentral:tRNA from 3 species
GGUGGGGUGGCCGAGUGGUUGAAGGCGCUGCUCUCGAAAAGCAGUAGGCCAGCAAUGGUCUCCAGAGUUCAAAUCUCUGCCCCACCGCCA